CACAAAGCCGCUUCUAGGUUUUAUAAUAUUGAGGCACCAUAUAACAUCUAUGUCUUUAGCUAAGAGAGGGGAGGUUUUUUCAAGCAGGAAUCUAGUUAAGAACAUUGGAAGCUGUUCCGGCUCUGUGAUUCGUGUGCUAAUUGUGUGUGUGCUUUGGGGAAUACAACAGAGGCAGUGUGCUUCCUGACUGUAGCCAGUGAAGAGACGCGCACACACACACACACACAGUGCUGCUUUGUGGAUCACGAUAAAGUGGUUAAGCAGGAGCCUCAGCUUAGAAAAUGGUUUCAUUGUCACUCAGCUGGACUGGCCACCCAUAAGGACUAACAUUCGCUAGUUAAUGCUUGAAGUGGAAAUUGAUGCCCUGCUCAAAGAUUGGAGCUCUUAUCUAAUGAAAAGGAAGAAACUGGAUUUUUUCAGCUCAGUUUGAUUAAAGGUCUUACAUUGAAGAGAAAGUGAUUGGACGAGAGCCGUCUUUGCCCUUGGCAACUGGAGAUGAUGAUGCCAUGGAAACCACUUUUCUUGCUAUCAUUCAUUGGCAGCCUUGCAGAGAGCAGUGUACCCCAUGGACCGGUUUGGGCUACAGAACCAAGCAAUCUUAUUCUCCCAAUUGAUUCUGAGGCACAGGAGGCAACAUUGAAUUGUGAAGCGAUUGGGGAUCCUCCUCCACAAU